GAAAUGCGAUACAUAAUGUAAAUUGCAGAAAUCAGUGAAUCAUCAAAUCUUUGAACGCACAUUGCACCUGAAGUAUUCCUUCUGGUACAUUUGUCUGAGUGUCCUUUUCUAUUAUUCUAUCUUAUGAUUCUAUAUUAAUCAUUUGAUGUUGAUAUGCAUGCAUUUGUUAUGUAUAUUUAAAGUUAUAUGAUAAUAUCUUUUUCGUUUUGUUGGUAAAUUAUUAUCUCUUUUUUUUAUAUCAGUAUAUUAUCAAAUAAGGAUUUUCAUUAUUUAAAUAAAGACCUCAGAUCAAAUGGCAUUACCCGCUGAAUUUAA
rnacentral:misc_RNA from 1 species